GUACUGGCUUCAGCAGCACAUAUACUAAAAUUAGAACAAUACAAGGUUAGCGUGGCCCCUGUGCAAGGAUGACACACAAAUGCGUGAUGUGUUCCACAUUUUU
ensembl:snRNA U6 U6 spliceosomal RNA